GAGUUUGAUCAUGGCUCAGAUUGAACGCUGGCGGCAGGCUUAACACAUGCAAGUCGAGCGGAAACGAUGAUAGCUUGCUAUCAGGCGUCGAGCGGCGGACGGGUGAGUAAUACUUAGGAAUCUACCUAGUAGUGGGGGAUAGCUCGGGGAAACUCGAAUUAAUACCGCAUACGUCCUACGGGAGAAAGGGGGCAACUUGUUGCUCUCGCUAUUAGAUGAGCCUAAGUCGGAUUAGCUAGAUGGUGGGGUAAAGGCCUACCAUGGCGACGAUCUGUAGCUGGUCUGAGAGGAUGAUCAGCCACACCGGGACUGAGACACGGCCCGGACUCCUACGGGAGGCAGCAGUGGGGAAUAUUGGACAAUGGGGGGAACCCUGAUCCAGCCAUGCCGCGUGUGUGAGGAAGGCCUUUUGGUUGUAAAGCACUUUAAGCAGUGAAGAAGACUCUUCAGUUAAUACCCGGGGACGAUGACAUUAGCUGCAGAAUAAGCACCGGCUAACUCUGUGCCAGCAGCCGCGGUAAUACAGAGGGUGCAAGCGUUAAUCGGAAUUACUGGGCGUAAAGCGAGCGUAGGUGGCUUGAUAAGUCAGAUGUGGAAUCCCCGGGCUUAACCUGGGAACUGCAUCUGAAACUGUUAGGCUAGAGUAGGUGAGAGGGAAGUAGAAUUUCAGGUGUAGCGGUGAAAUGCGUAGAGAUCUGAAGGAAUACCGAUGGCGAAGGCAGCUUCCUGGCAUCAUACUGACACUGAGGCUCGAAAGCGUAGGUAGCAAACAGGAUUAGAUACCCUGGUAGUCCACGCCGUAAACGAUGUCUACUAGUCGUUGGGUCCCUUGAGGACUUAGUGACGCAGCUAACGCAAUAAGUAGACCGCCUGGGGAGUACGGCCGCAAGGUUAAAACUCAAAUGAAUUGACGGGGGCCCGCACAAGCGGUGGAGCAUGUGGUUUAAUUCGAUGCAACGCGAAGAACCUUACCUGGUCUUGACAUACACAGAAUCUUGUAGAGAUACGAGAGUGCCUUCGGGAAUUGUGAUACAGGUGCUGCAUGGCUGUCGUCAGCUCGUGUCGUGAGAUGUUGGGUUAAGUCCCGCAACGAGCGCAACCCUUGUCCUUAGUUACCAGCACUUCGGGUGGGAACUCUAAGGAUACUGCCAGUGACAAACUGGAGGAAGGCGGGGACGACGUCAAGUCAUCAUGGCCCUUACGACCAGGGCUACACACGUGCUACAAUGGUAGGUACAGAGGGCAGCUACACAGCGAUGUGAUGCGAAUCUCAAAAAGCCUAUCGUAGUCCAGAUUGGAGUCUGCAACUCGACUCCAUGAAGUAGGAAUCGCUAGUAAUCGCGG
rnacentral:rRNA from 1 species